GACGAACCGUGCGAACGUUAUCCGGAAUCACUGGGCUUAAAGCGCGUGUAGGCGGAUGGGUGCGUCGGAACCUGAAAGCCCCCGGCUCAACCGGGGAAGUGGGGCCGAAACGACCCGUCUGGAGGGACGUAGGGGGAUCUGGAACUUCCGGUGGAGCGGUGAAAUGCGUUGAGAUCGGAAGGAACGCCCGUGGCGAAAGCGAGAUCCUGGACGUCUUCUGACGCUGAGACGCGAAAGCUAGGGGAGCAAACGGG
rnacentral:rRNA from 1 species